rnacentral:rRNA from 1 species
UGGGGAAUAUUGGACAAUGGGCGCAAGCCUGAUCCAGCCAUGCCGCGUGAGUGAUGAAGGCCCUAGGGUGGUAAAGCUCUUUCACCGGUGAAGAUAAUGACGGUAACCGGAGAAGAAGCCCCGGCUAACUUCGUGCCAGCAGCCGCGGUAAUACGAAGGGGGCUAGCGUUGUUCGGAUUUACUGGGCGUAAAGCGCACGUAGGCGGACUAUUAAGUCAGGGGUGAAAUCCCGGGGCUCAACCCCGGAACUGCCUUUGAUACUGGUAGUCUUGAGUUCGAGAGAGGUGAGUGGAAUUCCGAGUGUAGAGGUGAAAUUCGUAGAUAUUCGGAGGAACACCAGUGGCGAAGGCGGCUCACUGGCUCGAUACUGACGCUGAGGUGCGAAAGCGUGGGGAGCAAACAGG